GCGGGAGUAGCUCAGGGGCUAGAGCACCACCUUGCCAAGGUGGGGGUCGCGGGUUCGAAUCCCGUCUCCCGCUCCA
rnacentral:tRNA from 1 species